CUAGUUUACAAGGUGCCUUGCAACAACGAGGUUGCUUCCGUUUUCGCGAUGUCACUUAAGCACGCGGCGUGUGUUUCAUUUGUUUUGAUUUUGUAUCUUAUCUGCCGUACAGAUUGUAUCAUCAGCACUGGAUGCUAUGUGGAAACCCUGCCACAAUGAGCUAAAGGUACUUUCCUGAGGAACUGCUCUUCCUAUCAAAUGAGGCGUGCACCUGGCCUGACGGAUAUACGGCAUGUUAAGUGCCGCAAUCAAACGCUGUCAAGGGAGCCGCGAAAAGGCGUCUACUGAAGAGAUGGGCAACUUGUAUGUUAGCCAGAUAUCCGUGUUCCUAGUAAACGGAUGGUAUUUGUUCGAGAAGGGAACAGAGUACAUCAGCUCAACCUGUCGUUGAUCAGUAGAUGCGCUGCAAUCCAGUUGCAGUUCUUCUCGACUUUCUCAAGGCAAAGAUUGUCAUCGGCACACUGCAGAAUCUGCAGAUGCUAUGUGGAAACCCUGCCACAUUGUGCUAAAGGACCUUUCCUGAGGAACUGCUCUUCCUUUCAAAUGAGGCGUGCACCUGGCCAGACGGAUAUACGGCAUGUUAAGUGCCGCAGUGAAACGCUGUCAGGAGAGCCGCGAAAUGGCAGUCUACAUUCCCAACAGAUUGGCGGCUACUAAAGAAGAUUGGCAACUUGUCUGUUAGCCAGAUAUCCGUGUUCCUAGUAAACGGAUGGUAUUUGUUCGAGAAGGGAACUGAGUACAUCAGCUCAACCUGUCGUUGAUCAGCAGAUGCGCUGCAAUCCAGUUGCAGUUCUUCUCGACAUGCUCAAGGCAGAGAUUGUCAGGCUGGGAUACAAGCGGAAUACCACGCUCAUUGGCCUUACGAUGCUGUAGCUGAAUCGAAUCCUGGAGCUUUCUAAAAACUGGAACGCAUUGGAUACGACUACAAUCGCACACGAAACGAUGCUCGCGUACAACCAGCUACUAAGGCGUAUGCAGAUGCUCAGCGAGAGAGAUUGACCUAAUUCGCGAUUUCUUGCUGUCCUAGAAGUUCCAUCAUAUUUCGGUGCGGAACCAGGAGAAGCUAGAGCUGCAACAGCGGAUGGAGCACGUACUUGUGCCCUUCAAGGAGUCCAUUGAGGAGCACAGUGCCAAGGAUAGUGUCUUGCUGCAGGCGCUUUCACUUGAUGUAUAAUACCUUUAA